CCUACGGGUGGCUGCAGUGAGGAAUAUUGGUCAAUGGGCGUAAGCCUGAACCAGCCAAGUCGCGUGAGGGAUGAAGGUUCUAUGGAUCGUAAACCUCUUUUAUAAGGGCAUAAAGUGUGGGACGUGUCCUAUUUUGAAUGUACCUUAUGAAUAAGCAUCGGCUAACGCCGUGCCAGAAGCGGCGGUAAUACGGAGGAUCCGAGCGUUAUCCGGAAUGACUGGGUUUAAAGGGUGCGUAGGCGGCCUGUUAAGUGAGCGGUGAAAGUCUGUGGCGCAACCAUGGAAUUGCUGUUGAAACUGGGGGGCUUGAGUAUUGUGGGGGCAGACGGAAUGCGUGGUGUAGCGGUGAAAUGCUUAGAUAUCACGCAGAACCCCGAUGGCGAAGGCGGCCUGCCAAACUAUGACUGACGCUGAUGCACGAAAGCGUGGGGAUCAAACAGGAUUAGAUACCCGUGUAGUC
rnacentral:rRNA from 1 species